rnacentral:rRNA from 1 species
UACGUAGGGUGCAAGCGUUGUCCGGAAUUAUUGGGCGUAAAGCGCUCGCAGGCGGUCCGAUGCGUCGUGCGUGAAAGACCCCGGCUCAACUGGGGAGGGUCGUGCGAUACGGUCGGACUCGAGGCCAGUAGGGGGACGCGGAAUUCCUGGUGUAGCGGUGAAAUGCGCAGAUAUCAGGAGGAACACCGAUGGCGAAGGCAGGUCUCUGGGCAUUAACUGACGCUGAGGAGCGAAAGCAUGGGGAGCGAACAGG